rnacentral:lncRNA from 1 species
UAAUUUAUACAAGCAACUAGCUUCUGGAAAACUUGACCUCUGUCCAGCAGAGGACAGAAACAUAUCCAAAGAGACCACCGAAGCAGUGACUGGUACCCAGUGGGACAGAGAUGGAGGGACUAAUUAUAUUUUUGCAGCUGUUAAACCAAUGCUGGUGACAAAUGACUUUGUGGUGGACGGCACAGUAGUUAAUACUGGAGAAAAACUAGCGUGCACUGUGGUUUGUCUGCUUAAGUGCUAUUAACAUUAUAAGCAGGCGUGCUAAGGUGUUUUUUUUCUUCAGGGGUCACUGCUAGUAUGCAGUUUCCCACUGUCCCUGUGCAGUUGGAGCCACAGUUCCCAUCAUGGUGUUGACAGACGAUAGUCCUGUGACUCAUUCCAUGGUAGAGAGAGAUGCUGGGCUCUCUUCUUUCAUGAAACACAUCCUCGUUGUGCGAGUAGAUCCCUUCUGUGCUCUGCAUUAGGUGGCUUUUUGUCCUAGACCCUGAAAGACACAGCAGCCUGGUUUCUCUCUUAUCUGCCUCUAUUAAUGGUUUAUUUCUCUCUCUGACUGCAAACCACUAGUAACAGGUGAAAAUUUUCUCUCUGACUUUACAGGAACAAGCCCACACCACUGUCAUGUGGGGGUUGCUGCCCAUCCAUCAGCUGACUGCGAAGAAUAUCUGUAUUCCAGAAUUACUGUAAGCCUCAUCAUUUCUUAUGUCUGUGGCAAGAGAUGUUAUCUUUUGCCUGUAACCUCGUUUUUAUCAGCAAAAUUAAUUGUAAUUUAUUCAGUGUCAAUUUGUUUAGAUUGUGGUUUCUUUUCCUACAGGUUCUACAACCCAUCGUGCAUGUGAAUCAGAUAUUGCCUGCAAACUCAGAUAGCAUGUAAAAUAUGUAUGAACAAGAUGCGUAUGACAGCAGUGGCAGUAUCCGGCGAUUCAUGUCUUCGGGGAAGUGGAUAACAGGAGGAAAAAUGUAUAUCGGGGUUGAUGGAAAUUGUCAUGGUUCCACUGACGUCAAAGAGCCAGCUAUCAGUGGCAGGGUAAAUUUACAUGAGCUGAGGAUCUGUGCCAUCCCGUGUUUUAUUAACUGACAAUCCUGACUGAAAACUAAUGAGAGCGACACUUAGAAGAUUUGAUUCAUACAGAUUUGAAAUGUGAGCUGCAGAAUUUAAAUCUUGGUUUGGGAGACUUCAGAAUGCGGGAUUGAUGAACUUGGUCUAGCUGACAGUAAAUAAAGGGCCAUUUCUAAGAUGUAUGUGUUCA